UGAGAUUAAACAAUGCAUGGACUAUGUGAACAGGCACUGGACUAAAGAAGGGAUUUGCUGGGCUAGGAACUCUAAUUUAAAAGAUGUGGAUGACACGGCUAUGGCUUUUCGACUACUACGGCUACAUGGAUGCAAUGUCUCCCCAAGUGUGUUUAAGAAUUUUGAGAAGGAUGGAGAGUUCUUUUGUUUCGUGGGGCAAUCAACCCAAGCUGUCACUGGGAUGUAUAACCUCAACAGAGCCUCUCAGAUAGGGUUUCAAGAGGAGGAUAUAUUGCACCGUGCUAGGAUUUUCUCAUAUGAGUUUCUUAGACAAAGA